UUGACCUCAAAUCAGGUGGGACUACCCGCUGAACUUAAGCAUAUCAAUAAGCGGAGGAAAAGAAACUAACAAGGAUUCCCUUAGUAACUGCGAGUGAAGUGGGAAGAGCUCAAAUUUGAAAUCUGGCAGUCUCUGGCUGUCCGAGUUGUAAUCUAGAGAAGUGUUGCCCGCGCUGGACCGUGUACAAGUCUCCUGGGAUGGAGCGUCAUAGAGGGUGAGAAUCCCGUCUCUGACAUGGACUACCAGGGCUUUUGUGGUGCGCUCUCAAAGAGUCGAGUUGUUUGGGAAUGCAGCUCAAAAUGGGCGGUAAAUUCCAUCUAAAGCUAAAUAUUGGCGAGAGACCGAUAGUGAACAAGUACCGUGAGGGAAAGAUGAAAAGAACUUUGGAAAGAGAGUUAAACAGUACGUGAAAUUGCUGAAAGGGAAACGCUUGAAGUCAGUCGCGUUGGCCAGGGAUCAGCCUUGCUUCUUAGUGUGGUGUACUUCCUGGUUGACGGGUCAGCAUCGGUUUCGACUGCUGGAGAAAGGCUUGGGGAAUGUGGCAGCUCUGGCUGUGUUAUAGCCUCCUGUCAGAUACAGUGGUUGGGACUGAGGAACGCAGCAUGCCGCAAGGCCGGGGCUAAUAUCAGCCUACGUUCAUGCUUAGGAUGUUGACAUAAUGGCUUUAAGCGACCCGUCUUGAAACACGGACCAAUC
rnacentral:rRNA from 1 species